AUUGAACGCUGGCGGCAUGCCUUACACAUGCAAGUCGAACGGCAGCGGACCUUCGGGUGCCGGCGAGUGGCGAACGGGUGAGUAAUAUAUCGGAACGUACCUUUCAGUGGGGGAUAACGUAGCGAAAGUUACGCUAAUACCGCAUAUUCUGUGAGCAGGAAAGCAGGGGAUCGCAAGACCUUGCGCUGAUUGAGCGGCCGAUAUCAGAUUAGCUAGUUGGUGGUAAGGGCCUACCAAGGCGACGAUCCGUAGCGGGUCUGAGAGGAUGAUCCGCCACACUGGGACUGAGACACGGCCCAGACUCCUACGGGAGGCAGCAGUGGGGAAUUUUGGACAAUGGGCGGAAGCCUGAUCCAGCCAUGCCGCGUGAGUGAAGAAAGGCCUCGGUUG
rnacentral:rRNA from 1 species